rnacentral:rRNA from 1 species
GACGAACGCUGGCGGCGUGCUUAACACAUGCAAGUCGAACGGAAAGGCCCUGCUUUUGUGGGGUGCUCGAGUGGCGAACGGGUGAGUAACACGUGAGUAACCUGCCCUUGACUUUGGGAUAACUUCAGGAAACUGGGGCUAAUACCGGAUAGGAGCUCCUGCUGCAUGGUGGGGGUUGGAAAGUUUCGGCGGUUGGGGAUGGACCCGCGGCUUAUCAGCUUGUUGGUGGGGUAGUGGCUUACCAAGGCUUUGACGGGUAGCCGGCCUGAGAGGGUGACCGGCCACAUUGGGACUGAGAUACGGCCCAGACUCCUACGGGAGGCAGCAGUGGGGAAUAUUGCACAAUGGGCGGAAGCCUGAUGCAGCAACGCCGCGUGCGGGAUGACGGCCUUCGGGUUGUAAACCGCUUUCGCCUGUGACGAAGCGUGAGUGGCGGUAAUGGGUAAAGAAGCACCGGCUAACUACGUG